GUUGGGAUCAUGGCGGAGAAUCAC
rnacentral:piRNA from 1 species